AUGAACGCUGGCGGCGUGCCUAAUCCAUGCAAGUCGAGCGAACGGACGAGAAGCUUGCUUCUCUGAUGUUAGCGGCGGACGGGUGAGUAACACGUGGAUAACCUACCUAUAAGACUGGGAUAACUUCGGGAAACCGGAGCUAAUACCGGAUAAUAUUUUGAACCGCAUGGUUCAAAAGUGAAAGACGGUCUUGCUGUCACUUAUAGAUGGAUCCGCGCUGCAUUAGCUAGUUGGUAAGGUAACGGCUUACCAAGGCAGCGAUGCAUAGCCGACCUGAGAGGGUGAUCGGCCACACUGGAACUGAGACACGGUCCAGACUCCUACGGGAGGCAGCAGUAGGGAAUCUUCCGCAAUGGGCGAAAGCCUGACGGAGCAACGCCGCGUGAGUGAUGAAGGUCUUCGGAUCGUAAAACUCUGUUAUUAGGGAAGAACAUAUGUGUAAGUAACUGUGCACAUCUUGACGGUACCUAAUCAGAAAGCCACGGCUAACUACGUG
rnacentral:rRNA from 1 species